ACGACCAGACAUCAACGGUUGAAUGGGAAGAGAGAAACCACGACCAGACAUCAACGGAUGAAUGGGAAGAAAGAAACCACGACCAGACAUCUCUCGAUGAAUGGGAAUAAAGAAACCACGACCAGACAUCAACGGAUGAAUGGGAAGUGAGAAACCACGAGCAGACAUCCACGAUGAAUGCGAAUAAAGAAACCACGACCAGACAUCAACGGAUGAAUGGGAAGAGAGAAACCACGACCAGACAUCAACGGAUGAAUGGGAAUAAAGAAACCACGAC
rnacentral:lncRNA from 1 species